rnacentral:rRNA from 1 species
AAUAGAUACCCGGGUAGUCCACCCCGUAAACGUUGGGAACUAGUUGUGGGGUCCUUUCCACGGGAUUCCGUCGACGCAGCUAACGCAUUAAGUUCCCCGCCUGGGGAGUACGGCCGCAAGGCUAAAACUCAAAGGAAUUGACGGGGACCCGCACAAGCGGCGGAGCAUGCGGAUUAAUUCGAUGCAACGCGAAGAACCUUACCAAGGCUUGACAUACACGAGAACGGGCCAGAAAUGGUCAACUCUUUGGACACUCGUGAACAGGUGGUGCAUGGUUGUCGUCAGCUCGUGUCGUGAGAUGUUGGGUUAAGUCCCGCAACGAGCGCAACCCUCGUUCUAUGUUGCCAGCACGUAAUGGUGGGAACUCAUGGGAUACUGCCGGGGUCAACUCGGAGGAAGGUGGGGAUGACGUCAAAUCAUCAUGCCCCUUAUGUCUUGGGCUUCACGCAUGCUACAAUGGCCGGUACAAUGGGCUGCGAUACCGUAAGUGGAGCGAAUCCCAAAAGCCGGUCCCAGUUCGGAUUGAGGUCUGCAACUCGACCUC